GGUGAACGCUGGCGGCGUGCUUAAGACAUGCAAGUCGAACGGCAGUCUUCGGACUGUAGUGGCGCACGGGUGAGUAACGCGUAACUGACCUACCCCAAAGUCGCGGAUAACGAUUCGAAAGAAUCGCUAAUACGUGAUGUGCUGUCAGAUUGUGUUCUGCCAGUAAAGAUUGAUUGCUUUGGGAUGGGGUUGCGUUCCAUCAGCUAGUUGGUGGGGUAAAGGCCCACCAAGGCGACGACGGAUAGCCGGCCUGAGAGGGUGGCCGGCCACAGGGGCACGGAGACACGGGUCCCACUCCUACGGGAGGCAGCAGUUAGGAAUCUUCCACAAUGGGCGAAAGCCUGAUGGAGCGACACCGCGUGAGGGAUGAAGGUCUUCGGAUCGUAAACCUCUGAAUCAGGGACGAAAGACACUUCGGUGGGAUGACGGUACCUGAGUAAUAGCACCGGCUAACUCCGUGCCAGCCGCCGCAGUAACAC
rnacentral:rRNA from 1 species